AACUUUUAGCAACGGAUCUCUUGGUUCUGGCAUCGAUGAAGAACGCAGCGAAAUGCGAUAAGUAAUGUGAAUUGCAGAAUUCAGUCAAUCAUCGAAUCUUUGAACGCACAUUGCGCCCCUUGGUAUUCCGAGGGGCAUGCCUGUUCGAGCGUCAUUAUAACCACUCAAGCCUCGGCUUGGUCUCGGGGUUCGCGAUCUCGCGGCUCUUAAAAUCAGUGGCAGUGCCGUCUGGCUCUAAGCGUAGUAAUUCUCUCGCUAUAGAGUUCCGGUGGUUACUUGCCAAAACCCCUAAUUUUUUAACGGUUGACCUCGGAUCAGGUAGGGAUACCCGCUGAACUUAAGCAUAUCAAUAAGCGGAGGCU
rnacentral:misc_RNA from 1 species